rnacentral:tRNA from 1 species
GCGUUUGUAGUCGAACGGUUAGAAUAAUUGCCUUCCAAGCAAUAGACCCGGGUUCGACUCCCGGCAGACGCA